rfam:Drosophila ananassae strain TSC#14024-0371.13 Ctg01_4069, whole genome shotgun sequence.
GAUAACAGCGUAAUUUUUUUGGAGAGUUCAUAUCGAUAAAAAAGAUUGCGACCUCGAUGUUGGAUUAAGAUAUAAUUUUGGGUGUAGCCGUUCAAAUUUUAAGUCUGUUCGACUUUUAAAUUCUUACAUGAUCUGAGUUCAAACCGGUGUAAGCCAGGUU